rnacentral:rRNA from 1 species
UACAGAGGGGGCGAGCGUUGUUCGGAAUUACUGGGCGUAAAGGGCGCGUAGGCGGCCUGCUAAGUCGGACGUGAAAUCCCUCGGCUCAACCGGGGAACUGCGUCCGAUACUGGUUGGCUUGAAUUCGGGAGAGGGAUGCGGAAUUCCAGGUGUAGCGGUGAAAUGCGUAGAUAUCUGGAGGAACACCGGUGGCGAAGGCGGCAUCCUGGACCGGAGAUUGACGC